rnacentral:sRNA from 1 species
UUUUUGCCGUAGACUGCGUUAGGGAUGGGAGCGGCAUCCUUUUGCGACACCCGAAACUUCUUUUCAAACCCAAAACGUCUAUCGCAAAAGAUAUAGCGGACAGCCCGGCCCGGA